AUGAAUCAGCACCCAUAUGGGAUCCCGGUGCGUUCAAGAAGUUUCUUCAAUAUCAACAUUUUAAAGAUCCUAGACUCAGAUGGUCUUAAACCUAAUUCCAUCAAAGCAGGUGAUACAGUAAGUUUGUAUGUCAUGCUUCUGAAUUGGAUCAAUAUUUGUGAAAUGUAAUUAAUCAUAUAUAAAAUGUCUUUCACUGUUGCUCCUGUAGAAACAUUUAAUAAAUGGAGAAGGUCAACAUUCCCUCUUUUAAAAGAUGAAAUUCAGAUGAAGUUAGAGAAGACAUAAAACAAGUACUUGAGU